GAGGGUAUAGCUCAGUGUAGAGUGCAUGCUUAGCAUGCACAAGGUCCUGGGUUCAAUCCCCAGUAACUCCG
rnacentral:tRNA from 1 species